AAGCUUAACAUUCAGUGAUCUCCUCAUAAGUACAUUAGUGCGUUGAUGUUUCAACAGUUUCACAUUUUCGGUUACGCUGCAAUAUGGCGCGCAUAAAAACUGAAUGCUCCCUUCAAUCAUUGAUCAGAAGUCAGCGACAUGGAAAACGCAGAACAAAGUUCGCCCAGAACAAAUCGUUAAUAUCUUAGAAAAAAGAUAAAAAGAAAACGGAUGUAUAAUUAAACUGCGAAAGCUGUCACACAAUUUUAAUCUCUCACUCAAAUACCUGAUCACAACAGAUCAAAUAGCCAGCCCAAGUGUUACCAUAGAAGCUUGAUGUGGUAUCACAACCUAUUCAUGCAUGAACUUACAAAAUCGAGGAUGUCGUCGAGGAUGUCGAGGAUGUCGUCUACGCACUCAGGUUGAAGUGUUCUUGAAGACUAGGACAUCAAGACAAACAUAAAUGCCUAACACCUCGUUGCUGACUACAUAUAAAUUAAUAAGUGAACGGAAGCUUAUCGACGUCGGUGCAGCGGCAGCAGAUUUCAGCAGAACGAAGUGGAUUUGGAGUGGAUGGGGACCAGACGCUGACUUUGUUUUAUGUGGAAAAUAUAGUUUGAAGCGGAUGGAAGUCAGACGCUGAGUGUGUUAAAAAUAUUGUUUUGACAAUAUUUGAAUGUUCAAAUUCUUAACUCCUCCCCUCUUAGUGUGUGGUCAUGUGUGGUCUCUUAGAAAAAUGGGAUGUUGUUAAAUUGCAUGUAGCACGGCUUGGGUUGUUGUGCUUCUUCUUCAGCGGUUGGUGGAGCCAGCUGUAAAAUGAUUUUUCUUGUUUUUUUUUGCUAAGAAUUACGGUGGUCAAGGUUA